rnacentral:rRNA from 1 species
GCAGCCGCCGCGGGAAUACGAAGGGUGCAAGCGUUAAUCGGAAUUACUGGGCGUAAAGCGUGCGUAGGCGGUUUGUUAAGUCUGCUGUGAAAUCCCCGGGCUCAACCUGGGAAUGGCAGUGGAUACUGGCAAGCUAGAGUGUGUCAGAGGAUGGUGGAAUUCCCGGUGUAGCGGUGAAAUGCGUAGAGAUCGGGAGGAACAUCAGUGGCGAAGGCGGCCAUCUGGGACAACACUGACGCUGAGGCACGAAAGCGUGGGGAGCAAACAGGAUUAGAGACCCCCGUAGUCCCUGUCUCUUAUAC